rnacentral:rRNA from 2 species
CGGAGGUGCGGCGUGCUAUACAUGCAAGUCGAACGAACUCUGGUAUUGAUUGGUGCUUGCAUCAUGAUUUACAUUUGAGUGAGUGGCGAACUGGUGAGUAACACGUGGGAAACCUGCCCAGAAGCGGGGGAUAACACCUGGAAACAGAUGCUAAUACCGCAUAACAACUUGGACCGCAUGGUCCGAGCUUGAAAGAUGGCUUCGGCUAUCACUUUUGGAUGGUCCCGCGGCGUAUUAGCUAGAUGGUGGGGUAACGGCUCACCAUGGCAAUGAUACGUAGCCGACCUGAGAGGGUAAUUCGGCCACCAUUGGGACUGGAGGACACGGCCCAAACUCCUACGGGAGGCAGCAGUAGGGAAUCUUCCACAAUGGACGAAAGUCUGAUGGAGCAACGCCGCGUGAGUGAAGAAGGGUUUCGGCUCGUAAAACUCUGUUGUUAAAGAAGAACAUAUCUGAGAGUAACUGUUCAGGUAUUGACGGUAUUUAACCAGAAAGCCACGGCUAACUACGUGCCAGCAGCCGCGGUAAUACGUAGGUGGCAAGCGUUGUCCGGAUUUAUUGGGCGUAAAGCGAGCGCAGGCGGUUUUUUAAGUCUGAUGUGAAAGCCUUCGGCUCAACCGAAGAAGUGCAUCGGAAACUGGGAAACUUGAGUGCAGAAGAGGACAGUGGAACUCCAUGUGUAGCGGUGAAAUGCGUAGAUAUAUGGAAGAACACCAGUGGCGAAGGCGGCUGUCUGGUCUGUAACUGACGCUGAGGCUCGAAAGUAUGGGUAGCAAACAGGAUUAGAUACCCUGGUAGUCCAUACCGUAAACGAUGAAUGCUAAGUGUUGGAGGGUUUCCGCCCUUCAGUGCUGCAGCUAACGCAUUAAGCAUUCCGCCUGGGGAGUACGGCCGCAAGGCUGAAACUCAAAGGAAUUGACGGGGGCCCGCACAAGCGGUGGAGCAUGUGGUUUAAUUCGAAGCUACGCGAAGAACCUUACCAGGUCUUGACAUACUAUGCAAAUCUAAGAGAUUAGACGUUCCCUUUCGGGGACAUGGAUACAGGUGGUGCAUGGUUGUCGUCAGCUCGUGUCGUGAGAUGUUGGGUUAAGUCCCGCAACGAGCGCAACCCUUAUUAUCAGUUGCCAGCAUUAAGUUGGGCACUCUGGUGAGACUGCCGGUGACAAACCGGAGGAAG